GGUUUACAUGUUUUUAUUUUUAUGCGAAAUCAUAAAUACAAAAUAAAAAUAGUAAACAAGUGCUGUAGAUUUAUCUUUUCAUUGGGAUGAGGUUCAGGCAUGAUCCUGAGCACUUCCAAGGUUUUAGGUUCAGGACUAGAACUUUGUUCUUUGAAAACAAAUCAUAGCAGAAACCAACUUAGACUUUUACCCUGAAGCCAGUGACAUCAGUAACAGCAUUCUCUCAGGUUAUCUUUUAAAGCACAGCAACAACUAAGGAUACUGAAGGAGGAGAUUAAAUAUAUAAAUUUUUUUUUUUAAUGGGCCCCACUCAUCCACAAGUUACAGUUUUUGGAGGAUGAUGCUGUGUUUAGUAGCACAUGCACAGUUAGCACUGGCUUCUUCCAAGAGAUCUUUCUGUGUAUUUUCUUAAGAUUUUGGUUAUAAGAGGAUCCAGCCCUGUCUCAAUACAAGAAAUUUGGCUUGUCAAAAUUCCCUUCUAAGGCAUGGGUUUCCCCUCCCUCUCCCAAAGACACCAGUUUUCAUUUGAAAUGCUAGUGAUUCAUUGCCCAGAAGUAUUUCAUCUUUUGGUCAGACCCCAAAUUCUGCAGCACUUCUGAAGGCUCUACUGUUCAGAGACAUGCAGACAUUUUUGUCAGUGGGGUUUAGUUCUUUAACUUGAGACAAAAGAGAGUGAGGUCCAGGAUUUGGGCUAAUAUUUGUGGACUCGUUUGCUAGAUGACAGACAGCUGAGUGAGGGUGAGUGACAAAUAGAGUUGGAUGUUACAAUUUAAAAGAAAGUAGUCAUGAAAUAAAGGCACCAAACCAUAUAACAAGCCAACUUUGGUAGAUUUCUUGCAAAAUAUAUGCAUUUAAAUACACUUACAGUUUAGAAGGUUACACUGUUUUUAAAAAUUUGCAAUGAUGAAAUACAGAAUAUUUCACUCUUGUACCAAAACUACAUAUCACAUCAUAAAAACAAUAUUACAGCUUUUAUUUAAAUGGAGACAGUAUUAGAAUUGCACCUCUUUAUAGAGCAGAAGUAGUUGUAGACAUAUUGCUCUGCUUUUGUAUUCUCUGAUGAGUUCAGACCCUGCUGUUUAUGUGUUUAAAAAACAAAAGCAGUUAUCUUCAAAAUGUAAAUAGUGUUCAAUAUUCAACAUCAAAAAUUUCAGGGGUAAGGCUUUAGUCCCUCAUUCCAGUUUAUGAAUUGCUGAUACCUCCAGGGUUUUGAGUUUGCUAAGCAAGGCAAGAACAGAGUCAAUGUAAAUCUGUCAGACCUACAGUUACGGUUUGUAAAUAAGUUUGGUGUUACCAGAAAGCUGUAAGAGUUAAUGCUCAGGUCAGGUGUGCACUGUAUUGCUAUAUGAUUCUGAGGACCUAUGAGAUUGUAGGGCUGAUCUCUGAGGAGUAUAAACAGCACAUUUCCUCCCUAACUCUUGGCAGAAAUCUCCUUAUGGCAAUGCAGAUGCUGCCACAGUCAGUAGCAUAAUCCUGUGUGGAUCUACAAGUAAUUAGAUUGGAGGAAUAUCACCCCAUCCCCUUAAGCCCCUCCCUUAAUAAAGUUUGUCUCUGCAGUGUAGAAUGAAAAAGUGUAAGCUAAUAUUUUAGACCAUGGUAAAGUUGACCUCAGGUGUUGACUUCAGGAAAAUUAAGAGUUAUGUUGCCCAAAGCAUCUUCCUUCCAGUCUGCAGUGUUACUAGGGCAAUGCAGAGUCACGACUUCACAACUGAUCACCUUGUGUAAAUUCUCAGUCAAGAUAUUUUUGGUAAAAUUCUUCUAGCAAUUUUUUGCUUGAUUUGGUAAAUGAAGGAAAGCACGUGUUAACAAAACCAUGGUGGGGAGCCAACCAAGUGUAUAUCCAAUUGAAUGCUCAUUUCAAAACUGGCAGCAAGCAGAGCUUAGCAGGAAGGCCACAAAGACAUCAUUCCCCCCAACCAUCAGUAUCUGGGGCAAUUUUUAUAUUUCCAGUCUCCUGUAGUGCAGAUGAGAGGAACAGAGGCCCUGCUGGAGCCAGGACAUACAGUGAUCUAGAUUUCUUAAUCUAGACUUUGAAUAAUUCUGGCAAUGAGUUCAUAUUCAAGUAAAAACAGAGCAUAAACUGAAGAAGAGAUGAAGAACCUCGGGAGACAACCUACUGUUAUCUGAUUUGUACUCCACUAAAGGACAGCAACUACCUGAAAUCUCCCUCGAAGUUUCAAAUACACACAGACCAAUACACUUCUCUGAGGGACUGAAACAACUGAAGAAAGUCAAAUAGCUUUCUCCAAAGAGUUACUGCUUGUGGGAUUAAGGACCAAGGUUAGUGUCAGCUUUGGACAGGAUCCCUAUUUUAAUUGCCCAAAUAGAUCAACCCCCCCCUUAUCAGUCCGAGCAGGAACUGCCAGAUGGAGCCUUUUGGUAGAGAGAAGCUGCUCCUCGGCUCUGGUGCGCACCCGACGC
ensembl:lncRNA